UUUCUUCUCGCUUUUUUUCUCUCUUGGCUUUUUCUGUGUUCUUUUUUCUGUUUUUAGCUGUUUACAUCACCCUCCACUCGUUAGUACCUCGAUUGGAUCUGCGUGCUCACAUCCUUGGAUGAUGUGUUCAUUGAAAUGGUGUCACGCCUUGGCUAUAAUAUAAACUCGAUUGUCACUGUCACCUAGCUACUCCAUGAAACAUAGAACCAUGGUUUGGUGUGU
rnacentral:lncRNA from 1 species